AUUGAACGCUGGCGGCAGGCCUAACACAUGCAAGUCGAGCGGAUGAAGGGAGCUUGCUCCUGGAUUCAGCGGCGGACGGGUGAGUAAUGCCUAGGAAUCUGCCUGGUAGUGGGGGAUAACGUCCGGAAACGGGCGCUAAUACCGCAUACGCCCUGAGGGAGAAAGUGGGGGAUCUUCGGACCUCACGCUAUCAGAUGAGCCUAGGUCGGAUUAGCUAGUUGGUGGGGUAAAGGCCUACCAAGGCGACGAUCCGUAACUGGUCUGAGAGGAUGAUCAGUCACACUGGAACUGAGACACGGUCCAGACUCCUACGGGAGGCAGCAGUGGGGAAUAUUGGACAAUGGGCGAAGGCCUGAUCCAGCCAUGCCGCGUGUGUGAAGAAGGUCUUCGGAUUGUAAAGCACUUUAAGUUGGGAGGAAGGGCAGUAAGUUAAUACCUUGCUGUUUUGACGUUACCAACAGAAUAAGCACCGGCUAACUUCGUG
rnacentral:rRNA from 1 species